GGGGUGGACUAAGGGUAGGAGGCCUGAAGAAUGGCUUCUCUGUUUAUAACACAUCCAACAGAAAUCUGGGUUUACUCAUCACAGGUGGCAGAAUAUAUUGGCCUUCCUAUGACAUCAUGCCCUAUAUAG